UACGGAGGGUGCGAGCGUUGUUCGGAAUUACUGGGCGUAAAGCGCGCGUAGGCGGAAUCGUAAGUCGAUUGUGAAAUCCCUGGGCUUAACCUGGGAACUGCAGUCGAAACUGUGAUUCUUGAAUGUCUGAGGGGAUGGCGGAAUAACCGGUGUAGUAGUGAAAUACGUAGAUAUCGGUUAGAACACCUGAGGCGAAGGCGGCUAUCUGGCGGAACAUUGACGCUGAGGCGCGAAAGCGUGGGGAGCAAACAGG
rnacentral:rRNA from 1 species